ACUGUACAAUACAAAGCACUUGUGGGUGGUGGGUGGUGGUGCAUGGCCGUUCUUAGUUGGUGGAGCGAUUUGUCUGGUUAAUUGCGAUAACGAUCGAGACUCCGACAUGCUAACUAGUUACUCGACCCCGUGCGGUCCGAGUUCGACUUCUUAGAGGGACAAGUGGCGUUCAGCCACACGAGAUUGAGCAUCUGUGAUGCCCUUAGAUGU
rnacentral:ncRNA from 1 species